rnacentral:rRNA from 1 species
GAUGUCUGAUUAGCUAGUUGGUGAGGUAAAGGCUUACCAAGGCGACGAUCAGUAGCUGGUCUGAGAGGACGACCAGCCACACUGGGACUGAGACACGGCCCAGACUCCUACGGGAGGCAGCAGUGGGGAAUUUUGGACAAUGGGGGAAACCCUGAUCCAGCCAUGCCGCGUGAGUGAAGAAGGCCUUCGGGUUGUAAAGCUCUUUCAGCCGGAACGAAACGGUCACGGCUAAUACCUGUGACUACUGACGGUACCGGAAGAAGAAGCACCGGCUAACUACGUGCCAGCAGCCGCGGUAAUACGUAGGGUGCAAGCGUUAAUCGGAAUUACUGGGCGUAAAGCGUGCGCAUGCGGUUUUGUAAGUCAGAUAUGAAAUCCCCGGGCUUAACCUGGGAACU